UACUCAAUCAUACACAUGACAU
rnacentral:snRNA from 1 species